rnacentral:rRNA from 1 species
GACGAACGCUGGCGGCGUGCUUAACACAUGCAAGUCGAACGGAAAGGCCCUGCUUUUGUGGGGUGCUCGAGUGGCGAACGGGUGAGUAACACGUGAGUAACCUGCCCUUGACUUUGGGAUAACUUCAGGAAACUGGGGCUAAUACCGGAUAGGAGCUCCUGCUGCAUGGUGGGGGUUGGAAAGUUUCGGCGGUUGGGGAUGAACUCGCGGCUUAUCAGCUUGUUGGUGGGGUAGUGGCUUACCAAGGCUUUGACGGGUAGCCGGCCUGAGAGGGUGACCGGCCACAUUGGGACGGAGAUACGGCCCAGACUCCUACGGGAGGAAGCAGUGGGGAAUAUUGCACAAUGGGCGGAAGCCUGAUGCAGCAACGCCGCGUGCGGGAUGACGGCCUUCGGGUUGUAAACCGCUUUCGCCUGUGACGAAGCGUGAGUGACGGUAAUGGGUAAAGAAGCACCGGCUAACUACGUG